rnacentral:lncRNA from 1 species
UGGGGGCCUGGGCCUAUCCCUGAAGUUUCCUUUUUCCUUUCCUUUCCCUUCCCUUUCCCCUUCCCCUUCCCUUCCCCUCCUCCUUUCCCCCUUCCCCCUUCCCCCUCCCCCUUCCCCCUUUCUCCCUCCCCCUUUCCCCCUCCCCUUUUCCCCUUUCCCCUCCUCCUUUCCCCUCCCCCUUUCCCCCUUUCUCCCUCUCCCAUUUGCCCCUUUCUCCUCCCCCUUUUCCCCUCUCCCCUUUCCCCCUUUCCUCUCUUCCACCCUUUUCCUCUCUUCCCCCCUUUUCCCCUCUUCCCCCUAAAAGAAAGAUGUGCUGUGUGCCAAGGAGGAAGGUGGAAAGUGGGAAAGGGGAAAGGGGAGAAAGAGGAGAAAGGGAGAGGGCAAAAGGAGAAAGGGGGAAGGGGAAAGGGGGAAGGGGGAGGGGAAAGGGGAAAAGGGGGGAGAGGGAAAGGGGGAAGGGGGAGAGGGAAAGGGGAAAGGGGGCAAGUGGAAGAAUCUGUCCCCCUCCCCCAUUUAUCCUUUCCCCCUUUUCUCCUCCCCCGUUUUUCCUUUCCCCCUCCCCCCUUUCCUCAUUUCCCCUUCCACCUUUCCCCCUUCUCCUUGGCACACAUCACAUCUUUCUUUCCCCCUAAGGGGGGAGGGGGAAUGGGGAAAGGGGGCAGGGGAAAAUGGGGAAAGGGGGCAGGGGAAAAUGGGGAAAGGGGGAAACUGGGAAAGGGGGAAAGGGUAAGGGUGGAGGGGGAAAGGGGGCAAGGGGAAAGGGGUAAUAACCUUUCUUCCCCCCUAAAGAAAGGGGGAAGGGGAAAAGUGGGGAGGGGGAAAGGGGGAAGAGGGAAGGAUAAAGGUUUUCCCCUGUUCCCCUUGACCCCUUUCCACUUCCCCCUCCCCCUUUCCACUUUCCCUCUCCCCACUUUCCCCUCUCCUCUUUCCCACUCCCCCUUUUCCCUUUCCCCCUCCCCCUUCCCAUUUCCCCUUCCUCUUCCCCCUUUCCCCCUUUCCUCCUUCCUCCUUGGCACACAUCACAUCUUUCUUUCCCCCUAA